CGGAUCCGCAACGCCGCGUGAGGGAUGACCCCUUCGGGUUGUAAACCUCUUUAGUACCGACGAAGCGCAAGUGACGGUAGGUACAGAAGAAGCACCGGCCAACUACGUGCCAGCAGCCGCGGUAAUACGUAGGGUGCGAGCGUUGUCCGGAAUUAUUGGGCGUAAAGGGCUCGUAGGCGGUUUGUCGCGUCAGGAGUGAAAACUCGGGGCUUAACUCCGAGCCUGCUUCUGAUACGGGCAGACUAGAGGUAUGCAGGGGAGAACGGAAUUCCUGGUGUAGCGGUGAAAUGCGCAGAUUCAGGAGGAACACCGGUGGCGAAGGCGGUUCUCUGGGCAUUACCUGACGCUGGGGAGCGAAAGUGUGGGGAGCAAACAGGAUUAGAUACCCUGGUAGUCCACCCGUAACGUUGGGCGCUGGUGUGGGACUCAUUCCACGAGUUCCG
rnacentral:rRNA from 1 species